UAUGGAACCAGUACAGGGUCUCCAGGCACAUGGGACCUGAGGGGCAUCUCCCAGAACGUGCCAGCACACCCGAUCUACCUGUUCAGUAGGUGCAGCACCCCAGUUGGCACCUUCCGGUCCUGCCCCCGGAACCAGCACCUAAGGUUCUGUAGAUCUGCAAGUCCAAGCUCCAGGCUAGGAGGCCACUGUCUGAGCUCGUUUGCUGCUGCCCCAAGGAGGCUGAGACUCUGCAGGAGCUGGUCCUUCCGGAAAUCCAUACAAAUAGCACCCAGUGUUGGAACGAGCUUGCCCCGUGAACUUCCAUACAUCGCCAACUAAGCUCUGGGGCCGUGGUCCCUUAAACCACCUGCUUCUUCCUCCUUCUCAAGCUGUCCCUGCAACUUUGACUUGACAUGAUGGCAGGCUGACUGUGCCCACGGUCCCUCCACCUGCCUGCCUGCCUUGUCAUGAACUUAUCUUUGCUUUCUCUUCAGCUUUAUUCAGAUAUCAUUGACAAAGAAAGUCAAAU